rnacentral:rRNA from 1 species
AAGCGGCAACAGCUCAAAUUUGAAAUCUGGCUCUUUUAGAGUCCGAGUUGUAAUUUGCAGAGGGCGCUUUGGCUUUGGCAGCGGUCCAAGUUCCUUGGAACAGGACGUCACAGAGGGUGAGAAUCCCGUACGUGGUCGCUGGCUAUUGCCGUGUAAAGCCCCUUCGACGAGUCGAGUUGUUUGGGAAUGCAGCUCUAAAUGGGAGGUACAUUUCUUCUAAAGCUAAAUAUUGGCCAGAGACCGAUAGCGCACAAGUAGAGUGAUCGAAAGAUGAAAAGCACUUUGGAAAGAGAGUCAAACAGCACGUGAAAUUGUUGAAAGGGAAGCGCUUGCAGCCAGACUUGCUUACAGUUGCUCAUCCGGGUUUCUACCCGGUGCACUCUUCUGUAGGCAGGCCAGCAUCAGUUUGGGCGGUAGGAUAAAGGUCUCUGUCACGUACCUCCUUUCGGGGAGGCCUUAUAGGGGAGACGACAUACUACCAGCCUGGACUGAGGUCCGCGCAUCUGCUAGGAUGCUGGCGUAAUGGCUGUAAGCGGCCCGUCUUGAAACACGGACCAAGGAGUCUAACAUCUAUGCGAGUGUUUGGGUGUCAAGCCCGAGCGCGUAAUGAAAGUGAACGGAGGUGGGAACSCGCAAGGKUGCACCAUCGACCGAUCCUGAUGUCUUCGGAAGGAUUUGAGUAAGAGCAUGGCUGUUGGGACCCGAAAGAUGGUGAACUAUGCUUGAAUAGGGUGAAGCCAGAAGRAAACUCUGSUGGAGGCUCGCAGCGGUUCUGACGUGCAAAUCGAUCGUCA